rnacentral:misc_RNA from 1 species
AAAUUGCGAAAAUUAAUGUGCAUUGCAGUACGUGAAUCAUCGAGUCUUUGAACGCAACUUGCACUCUAGGUUCUCCUAGAGUAUGCCUAUUUGAGUAUCGGACACACCCACUCAAACAUUGUGUGUUGUGUGCACAACGCGACACAUACACGUUUGGAUCUGAUGAGCCGUGUGCUGCUACUCUACUACACCCACGUGUGGUGACGGCAGCAGCCGGCUUGAAGUGUACACUGAAUCGGGCCUAUGCAUACUGUGCAUGUGCGGGGUACUGACGUGAUAGUCCCUUGGGGGAACACGCUCGUCAGGCUAAAUAUCAUCCGCGUGCCAGUCAUAGUGAUCUCCCAGUCACACACCCACCAUCACAUUUUGAAUCUCGAUCUCAAAUUAGGUAGGACUACCC